AACGAACGCUGGCGGCAUGCCUAACACAUGCAAGUCGAACGAGACCUUCGGGUCUAGUGGCGCACGGGUGCGUAACGCGUGGGAACCUGCCCUUAGGUUCGGCAUAACUCCCCGAAAGGGGUGCUAAUACCGGAUAAUGUCUUCGGACCAAAGAUUUAUCGCCUUUGGAUGGGCCCGCGUUGGAUUAGCUAGUUGGUAGGGUAAAAGCCUACCAAGGCGACGAUCCAUAGCUGGUCUGAGAGGAUGAUCAGCCACACUGGGACUGAGACACGGCCCAGACUCCUACGGGAGGCAGCAGUGGGGAAUAGUGGACAAUGGGCGAAAGCCUGAUCCAGCAAUGCCGCGUGAGUGAUGAAGGCCUUAGGGUUGUAAAGCUCUUUUACCCGGGAUGAUAAUGACAGUACCGGGAGAAUAAGCUCCGGCUAACUCCGUG
rnacentral:rRNA from 1 species